rnacentral:rRNA from 2 species
CCUUCGGGUGUGACUGCGUACCUUUUGUAUAAUGGGUCAGCGACUUAUAUUCUGUAGCAAGGUUAACCGUAUAGGGGAGCCGCAGGGAAACCGAGUCUUAACUGGGCGUUAAGUUGCAGGGUAUAGACCCGAAACCCGGUGAUCUAGCCAUGGGCAGGUUGAAGGUUGGGUAACACUAACUGGAGGACCGAACCGACUAAUGUUGAAAAAUUAGCGGAUGACUUGUGGCUGGGGGUGAAAGGCCAAUCAAACCGGGAGAUAGCUGGUUCUCCCCGAAAGCUAUUUAGGUAGCGCCUCGUGAACUCAUCUUCGGGGGUAGAGCACUGUUUCGGCUAGGGGGUCAUCCCGACUUACCAACCCGAUGCAAACUACGAAUACCGAAGAAUGUUAUCACGGGAGACACACGGCGGGUGCUAACGUCCGUCGUGAAGAGGGAAACAACCCAGACCGCCAGCUAAGGUCCCAAAGUCAUGGUUAAGUGGGAAACGAUGUGGGAAGGCACAGACAGCCAGGAUGUUGGCUUAGAAGCAGCCAUCAUUUAAAGAAAGCGUAAUAGCUCACUGGUCGAGUCGGCCUGCGCGGAAGAUGUAACGGGGCUAAACCAUGCACCGAAGCUGCGGCAGCGACACUAUGUGUUGUUGGGUAGGGGAGCG